rnacentral:lncRNA from 1 species
GCACGUCCCUGAAGCUCUCUCUCUUAUAGGGUCUCUCGGGGAAAUCGGGGCCCAGGGGCGAGCGUGGCCCCACGGGUCCCCGGGGCCAGCGGGGUCCGCGAGGAGCCACCGGGAAGUCGGGGGCCAAGGGCACCUCCGGCAGCGACGGCCCCCACGGUCCUCCGGGAGAAAGGGGCCUGCCGGGACCGCAGGGCCCCGCUGGGGAGUCUGGCCCCAUGGGGGAGCGCGGCCACCCGGGCCCCCCCGGCCCCCCAGGAGAACAAGGGCUGCCAGGACCCUCGGGCAAAGAGGGCACCAAGGGAGACCCCGGCCCCACCGGCUCCCCCGGGAAGGACGGCCCCGCCGGUUUGCGGGGUUUCCCCGGCGAGCGGGGUCUGCCCGGCACCCCGGUGAGUAUCACCCACCCUCGGGGGCCCCCCCAUCCCCCCCCCACCCCAAAAACCCGCCGCUGACCCCCCCCUCUUUUUGCAGGGCGGCCCAGGGCUGAAGGGCAACGAGGGUCCGGCGGGACCCCCAGGACCUGCAGUAAGUGCGCGCGCCCCCCUCAUCCACCAUCCACGAUCCCACUGCCCCCCCCCCCCCCCCCCCCCCCCCUCCCCCCCCCCCAGGGCUCCCCAGGGGAAAGAGGAGGACCGGGACAAGGUGGCCCCGUUGGCCCCCCCGGGCGACCGGGGCCACAAGGACCACCGGGCCCCGCUGGAGAGAAAGGUGUCCCCGUGAGUACCGGGGGGAACGGCGAGGUGUCCCCAAAUGUCCCCGCGCCCCUCACCCUCUUUUUCUCUUCCGCCCCCCUCCUCAAGGGAGAGAAAGGUCCCAUGGGUCCCGCUGGCCGCGACGGCGUUCAGGGCCCCGUGGGUCUCCCCGGCCCCGCUGGCCCCCCCGGUGGUCCCGGCGAGGA